ACAAGAGAUUUCACAGCAUUUCCAAGCAGCGUGGUUCAAGGCAGAAAGCCUCCUGAUACCUGCAGUGCAAAAUCCGGGAGCUGGUUGUCUACCUGUUCUUGGAUUUAGUUGCUGUUUGCUUUUCCUCUCUUUAAUUUUAAAAGGGAAUUAAAAUUUCUCCUGGAAGACUAUGAUGAUGCAGCUCAGCAGAGACUCACCAGCUCGAGGUUUAGCAUCAGCAAGUAUUUUUACCUCCGGCACAAGCAGUUUUGUUCCUUCAGCAAGGCAUGGCAGGAUGAACACUGGAUACCUGAAACUCCUGGGAGAAGGCUGCGUUUCCUGGGGCUCCAUCCUUGGCUUUCCUGCACUGUCAGAGACCAGCUGUGACCCCGGUGUGAUGAAGAAUGACACAGUGGCUUAAAGGCCACAAAGGACGUGCGAAUUGGUCCAAAAAUUAUCGUUACCUGGCAAAACCAGAAGGUUUAAGGUUCAGUGUUGAAAGCUUUGUCCUGCAAGGGUGCAGCCCUCUCAUCUUGACACUGCCAUCCUUCUAUGUCCUGGUGCUGCCUGAAGUGAUGACCUGCCAGAGGAUGGAGCACAGGAGACCAGGGAUCAGCACACUGUACAAAGUAUAACACAAAGCAAAGCCUUUUCUGCAGCUUUCAAGCUGAGGAUGGAUCAGGCCAGCGUUCCCCUGCUUGCCAGUUUCCCAAGUGAGCUGGCAGUGGCUUCCCAAGUGUGGUUUUGCAAGGAGAUGUACCAGAGAAGGACAGGGUACAGGUAAGUAAAGCUGCAGGUGAGUAACAGGGAAAUCCUGGUGAGGCAACACACGGGUGCACAGCGAGCCUUUCGUCAUUGCUGCUGCAGCAGCAGUGGCACUGCAAAAGGUGGCAUCUCUAAUGUGGAAUCUCUGGCUUUUUCAACCCUGAGUAGAUGUGCUUGGAGUGGUCACAGUGCCAUGGACAAGUGGCAUCUCCUAUGGUGAGUUUCUGAGGCUCUGGAACCAGGAGUAGAGGUCUCGGGGGGUUUUUUGUUAAAACACUUGCUUUCAGUAUAAGUUCUACUCUUGCUUGAGUAGAGGAAAAGAGAAGGUCUUUGUUUAGAGCCAUAGUAAGGCAGGAUGGGAGCUGAGACAUCCAUCUGCAAUGGAACAACUGUGGGAGCAUUGAUGUGGUGCUUCAUCAGGGCGAAAUGGGAGAUUUUGUCUAACCAUAGUCUCAUUUCUCUUAAAAGGCUAUUUCAGACUAAAGCAGAGCACCCUUUUUCCUGGCUUUUGCCAGAUGAAAUUUGGAAGAAGAGGCCAGCAGGUGCUGGCACAGGCUCCAGAGGUUCAUCCCAGUUCCUCGAGUAUACAAGCCCAGGGAUGAAGCAUUCUGGCUCCUUUUGGGGAGCACAGCACGUGUUAUCAGCAACAGCCCUUACUAAUUCUUCCUAGUUUUCCUCUGGCAUAGGAAUUUCUUUCUUCUUCACAGAUUUUUACUAUUCCUGAAGUUAAAAAA